CUGGGCAGUCGCAGCCUGUGCUCAAGCAUGAUAAAUUAAAACUUUGUGAGAAGAAGAGGAAGAACAUGACCAGCCUAGAUAAUAUGUAGCCAUCUGUUUGGGAUCAAUAAUGAAAUACUCGGUUGUAGUGCCAAAUUAAAUGCAAGUUGAUAUCAAUACUUCUGUACCGCCAAAG